rnacentral:lncRNA from 1 species
AUGACAAACUGUGGCAUUGUAUGUGGACAUUUGGGAAAUACUGUCUUUGUAGCUGAAGAGCAGUGCUGUCACAAGAUGAGAUGGGCUUCAGUGAGAAGGAGUACGUUAACUAAGAAGCACCAUGAUUCUAAGCAGCAAAACUGCUUCCUGAGUAAUUUUAAGGAGAAAAAAAUACUGACCUUGAGGGAGAAGUCUAAAGAUUUCUUGGAUGGAGGGGUUUAGCAGAUCCCUUUCAGAAGUGCAGUGGCUCAAGAAUGCAAAAAUAUAGAUUCAGUGCAGAAGGAGAGGGCAUGAUAUGGCUGAGGAAACCAAGUUGACGUAAGGUGGAGACAGUGUCAACAAAUGCCAGAAACUGUGAUGGUGCUGGAAAACAAGACUGAGCAGCUUAUAAACCAAAGUGAACUUUGUACCUUGAAAGAAUGUGUCUGAAAGAUGGCAAUGAGCUAUUAGAUGAUUGCUCCUGUUGCAGGAAUAACAUGAUUGUGGUGUAUCAGAGAGUCUGUGACUACAUAGAAAUUAUUUUGAAACCUUUUGCAACAACUUUUCCAUUUUGAUUAACCACAGCCCACUGAGUAUGUGCUCUUCACACAUGACAGAAUUCAGAUGACAGAGGCCAAGCGAAGAAUGAAAAUGUUGUUGAUGACAUUUUCCUCAUUCAAGAAUCCUGUCAUUGAAAAACAGCCUCUUUUGAGAAUAAGAAAUAUCUCAUAAAAGUGUUGAAAUUAGUGCGGAGUUUCUCAAAUUAGUCUUAAUAUUAUUUAGUCAUUAUGGAAAUAUUCAUAUUAUUUUAAGUUUUGAAUUAAAAGCAAAAAUUUUGAGAAUAAUUUUGAUCUUUCAUAAACAUCAAUUAGAACAUUAUAAAAAACUAAUUUUUACUGAAAAAAAUGGAAA